UACGUCGGGUCCGAGCGUUGUCCGGAAUUACUGGGCGUAAAGAGCUCGUAGGUGGUUUGUCGCGUUGUUCGUGAAAACUCACAGCUCAACUGUGGGCGUGCGGGCGAUACGGGCAGACUGGAGUACUGCAGGGGAGACUGGAAUUCCUGGUGUAGCGGUGAAAUGCGCAGAUAUCAGGAGGAACACCGGUGGCGAAGGCGGGUCUCUGGGCCGAUACUGACGCUGAGGAGCGAAAGCGUGGGGAGCGAACAGG
rnacentral:rRNA from 1 species